GGGAAGCAGAGAAGCCCAAAGAGGGAGGACCAGAAGGGAUACUGCUAAUGUCUUCGGAUAGGUGAGGCUUCCCAGGUGGCUGCUCCCUCUUAAUACUGAGCUCAGCAAACACCAAUAAGAAGUUCUGCAGCUGAAAGGGAAGGAUCCUGCCCAGGCCAUUGCCCGUUCAAGGGACAGAGAAGUUCUUGCUCCAGCCCAUGGUCACUACACAGCAUCAGUGCAGUAUCUUUGUGUCUAAACCAGUAGCCCCCUCUUCUGACAGACUCCUGCCAUCAGUGUGAUUGGUCUUUGUUCAGAGUUCUUUCUGAAUUCUUUUCUCAGCAGGAACUGUGGGACCUUGCUACUCAUGGGAGUGAUGUCUUCACACUCAGAGUGAGGCAGACCCUUCUGGCUCCAUGUUCCACCACACUCAACAAGGAACCCAAAGUCUUGUGAAGUAGAGAACUGUACAAAAGUUAGUGUUGUCCGGAGCAAAGCAAAGCCAUAAAGUUGGAGGCAAAAGAAUGUGCAACUAUGCAUGAGCAGCAU
rnacentral:lncRNA from 1 species